AGGUGCUGCAUGGCUGUCGUCAGUUCGUGGCGUGAGCUGUUGGGUUAAGUCCUAGAACGAACGCAACCCUCGGGUUCUUUGCUUUGAAUCAUUGAACUAACUGCCUUUGAGAUAAAGGAGGAAGGAGAGGAUGACGUCAAGUCCGCAUGGCCCUUAUGAAUUGGGCUACACACGUGCUACAAUGAUGAUGCCAAAAAGAUGCAAUUUGGUCACAAGGAGCAACCCUUUAAACAUCAUCUUAGUGCAGAUUGGUCUCUGCAACUCGAGACCAUGAAGUCGGAAUCGCUAGUAAUCGUAGAUCAGCAUGCUACGGUGAAUUUGUAUCUAAGCCUUGUACACACCGCCCGUCAC
rnacentral:rRNA from 1 species